UUACGGUCAAAUCACCUUGAAACACCUGUUCUCGUAAGAUCACUGAAGUUGAGCAACGUCGUGUCUGGUCAGUACCGAGAUGGGUGAUCGCUUGGGAAUACCUAUAGUCG